rnacentral:lncRNA from 10 species
GUGAGUGAGACCCUGCAGGAACAGCCAUCCACCAGCCUGCUUGCCAACUGCCCAGAGAAGUUAUUUGCCUGAGGUUACACAGUGAGGAAAUGAGGCAAUAAGUGAAUUCAUUCAAUGAGUAUUUAUUGAGCACCUACCAUAUACCAGGCUUUGGGAAAGCAGCAGUGAACAAAACAGUCCCUGCCUUGAAGGUGGAGACAGACAAUGCACAUGUAAAUGAAUGUGGAGCAGAUUAGCCUUUUGUGAUCAACGCUGUAAAGCAAAGCACAGCAAAGCCAUGCUGGGUGUGGGGACAGUGAUAGAGUUGAGUGUGCUAUUUUUGGAUGGAGAGGUUAAGGAAGGCCUGUCUGAAGAGAUGACAUCUGAGUAGAAACCAGAAUAAGGUGAAAGAUAUCUAUGUAGAUAUCUAGGGGAGAAGAGUAACAGAAAGAGGGAACCACAACUGGCCUGUUUGUGGGUUUUUAUUGUUGUUUUUUUGAGACAGGGUCUCACUUUGUCUUCCAGGCUGGAGUGCAGUGGCACAAUUCACUGCAGCCUCCACCUCCCAGGUUCAAGCAAUCCUCCUGCUUCAGCCCCGCCAAGUAGCUGAGACUACAGGCAUGAGUCACCAUGCCCAGCUAAUUUUUGUAUUUUUAGUAGAGACAGGGUUUCACCAUGUUGCACAGGCUGGUCUUGAACUCCUG